rnacentral:sRNA from 1 species
CAGGGAGCAGCAGGCGGGUACCCAAAACAUUUGAAUGUUCUUUAUGGAAAAGUGUCAUUCCUUCUACUUGCUGCAGAGAAAUCCAGUGAGAGGACAGGCCCUCGCUGCUGGCCAUGCACCCUUUCUGGGUGCAUGGGCAGAGCCUACCUCCCUGGGAUCCUGGGUGCGCCGGGUGGUGCAGCUUGGGGGAGGAGAGGAGGAGGGCUUAGCGUGCUUUUGUCUUUUCAGCCCCUCCAACCUGUUUGAUCAUUUUCCUCUGUGGCUAUGAUUGCUUUAAGUAGUGUUACUUGUAGAUUAUUUGGAAAAUACAAGAGAGUGUAAAGAAGACCGUGUAUGGUGGGCUUCUAGGGUCAGGUCCAGGGGGCCCGGCAGGGGUCAGGUUGGAGCCCCAGGUGCAUGCAGUUUUCUCUCCCGCAGCCCACAGAGCAGUUCAACGGGCAGGGCGCCAGCUUCAACGGGGGCAGCGUCAGCUACAGCCAACCUGGCCUGAGUGGGGUAGGGGGCCUGGCCGGGAGGAUGGGCCGGGAGGCUCACAGGGUGGGCAUAUGGAGAGAGGGCGACCGGGCAGGCACCCCUGGGGCCGCCUCCUGUCCACCUCUGUUAUCAUGGUUCCCAGUGGGUGCGCCGUGAACAGACUCCACUCCCAUCCACCCUGGCAAUCUGCCUUGACUGUUUGUGCUCAACCCUACAGCCUACCCGUUCCAUCCCGGGCUAUCCCAGUUCCCCACUGCCAGGGAACCCCACGCCACCCAUGACCCCAAGCAGCAGCAUCCCUUACAUGUCACCAAACCAAGAGGUCAAGUCUCCCUUCUUGCCUGAUCUCAAGCCCAACCUCAACUCCUUGCACUCAUCGCCCUCUGGAAGCGGGCCUUGUGACGAGUUGCGGCUGACCUUCCCUGUGCGCGAUGGGGUGGUCCUGGAGCCCUUCCGCCUGCAGCACAACCUGGCUGUAAGCAACCACGUCUUCCAGCUGCGAGACUCAGUCUACAAGACCCUGAUAAUGAGGUGAGCUCCGCCUGGCCCCCACCUGACCCCCACGAGGCUCUGUUCCUCCUCCCACACUCUCAGGGCCUGUUUUCUGGGUGUCCACCCAUCUUCCUGAGCAGGCCUGACCUGGAGCUGCAAUUCAAGUGCUACCACCACGAGGACCGGCAGAUGAACACCAACUGGCCAGCCUCGGUGCAGGUCAGCGUCAAUGCCACGCCGCUCACCAUCGAGCGUGGCGACAACAAGACCUCGCACAAGCCACUCUACCUGAAGCAUGUGUGCCAGCCAGGCCGCAACACCAUCCAGAUCACCGUCACCGCCUGCUGCUGCUCCCACCUCUUCGUGCUGCAGCUAGUGCACCGCCCAUCCGUCCGCUCGGUGCUGCAGGGCCUCCUCAAAAAGCGCCUCCUGCCUGCUGAGCACUGCAUCACCAAGAUAAAGCGGAACUUCAGCAGCGGCACCAUCCCUGGCACCCCUGGGCCCAACGGAGAGGACGGGGUGGAGCAGACAGCUAUCAAGGUGUCCCUGAAGUGCCCCAUCACCUUCCGCAGGAUCCAGCUCCCUGCCCGAGGUCAUGACUGUCGCCACAUACAGUGCUUUGACCUGGAGUCGUAUCUGCAGCUCAACUGUGAGCGGGGGACUUGGAGGUGUCCUGUGUGCAACAAGACAGCUUUGCUGGAGGGCCUGGAGGUGGACCAGUACAUGCUGGGCAUCCUGAUUUACAUUCAGAACUCUGACUAUGAGGAGAUCACCAUCGACCCCACGUGCAGCUGGAAGCCAGUGCCCGUGAAGCCUGACAUGCACAUCAAGGAGGAGCCGGAUGGGCCGGCACUGAAGCGCUGCCGCACCGUGAGCCCCGCCCACGUGCUCAUGCCCAGCGUGAUGGAGAUGAUCGCCGCCCUGGGCCCCGGCGCUGCCCCUUUUGCCCCCCUGCAGCCCCCCUCAGUCCCUGCCCCCAGCGACUACCCUGGCCAGGGUUCCAGCUUCCUGGGGCCUGGAACUUUCCCUGAGUCCUUCCCACCCACCACGCCCAGCACCCCAACCCUUGCUGAGUUCACCCCGGGGCCACCCCCCAUCUCCUACCAGUCUGACAUUCCCAGCAGCCUCCUGACUUCAGAGAAGUCUACCGCCUGCCUCCCAGGCCAGAUGGCACCAGCAGGUCACCUGGACCCCACUCACAAUCCUGGGACACCAGGACUACACACCUCCAACGUUGGGGCCCCUCCAGGUCCCCAGCUGCACCAUUCAAACCCUCCCCCAGCGUCCCGGCAGUCCUUGGGCCAAGCGAGCUUAGGACCUACGGGUGAACUGGCCUUCAGUCCUGCCACAGGCGUGAUGGGGCCCCCCAGCAUGUCUGGAGCCGGGGAGGCCCCAGAACCAGCUCUGGACCUGCUCCCGGAACUGACCAACCCUGAUGAGCUACUGUCCUACUUGGGCCCACCCGACCUCCCUACGAACAACAAUGACGACCUGCUUUCUCUGUUUGAGAACAACUGAUCCUGUGUUUACCCCAAGCCCGGCGGGGACACGCUCACAGAUGUCACCACAGCCCUGCCCUUCAUGCCCAGCCCCAUGGGACACCCGGUGGUCUUUCCCAAACCUCCCCCAAAACACACCUGGAGCCAGAGCCUUCUGCCGCCAGCCCUGCCCCUGAAUUGGAAGCAGCCCUGUGCUCGAUAGGAGGGGCUCCCAGGCCGGCAGCCCUCGCCACCUCCCUCUACCAAGCCUGCUGCUGCAGAACGGUUUUUGCUGAGGUGCCCCUGCCCAGCCCUGUCCAGCCUUGUCCACACACACAUCUCACGCCCCUGGUCUCACAGCCUCACACCUUGUCCUUCCACCCCUGCCUGCUCCCACCCAGCCUGCUUCUUGUCCAGCAUUGAUCCUUCUGUUUCAACAACUCCUCCACUGGGCAGAGCUGGGCAUCUGGCAGGGCUGGCUCUGUCCCCUGGGCCUUUGGCUCCAGUGGCCCCUGUGCCCAGCAGUCCAGCUCUUGGAACCUCGCUGAAUGGCAGCCUCUUGGGGGCCUGGAGCUCUGGCAGCCCAGCCGUGUGUGGUGUCAGGUUCCUCUCCCCACCCCAGCUUCAAGCAGAGGCCUCGGGGUGGGGGAGCUACAAAGCACAACAAUGUACAUAGUGUAGAAACACUAACAGCUGGGAGAGGGGAGCCAGCUGUCCAGCCAGCAUGUUCCUGUUGUACAGCCCGGUCUCCCUGUGCGCUCUGCUCCUUCCCAUGUGCAGACAGAUCAGGGAGGAACCUCCAAUGGGUGGGGGACAGUGAGCUUCGGCCUGGCCGAGGUGGGUGGGUGGGCUCUCAGAUUCAGCUCUGUGUAAAGAUUCUCUAGCGGGCUGCGCUCCCAAGUUCCCCUUCUCUGUGAAAGUGAAGAAUUAGUACAGCUGUGUUUUUUAAAGCCACCUCUCUGUCUCCACCCCAUGGGCCCACACCCAGGUGGGGGAGGAGGAAGCCACUGCAUCUGUUGGCUCAGGGCCCCAGCCUGUGCGAGCAGGGCGCCUGGGCUGUUGUGUCUCCUGUCUGUGCCGAUCUCUAUUAAAGGACUCCCUCUUG